ACCAAAAAGGAUUUCCAGGACGAGAGGAGGCAGAGGUUCCCAGGGCUUGCAGACAAAAAGGCCCUAAUGCAGAUGAUGAGACGCUGUGAACGGGAGAAUGAUGUUUAGGAGAAACCCUGACGUCCGGAAAGCUGGGUUCUCUGAAGGGACCCUCCCAAGAGCUGUUAUAUCCACAGGAGGGAAGAUAGUUACACAAAGGAGGUGUGGUAUUCACAGGCAUUCUCACCAGCCCAGGUCUCUGGAGAGGGAGCCAAGCAAUGCCAAGGAAGAAGAGAGGAAGGCGGGACUGGUCCCCUUCAGACAAGGCUGCUUAGAGGCUUAGCUGCUGAUCUCACCACUGCCCCAGGCCCUGGGUGGCGCUCCUUCCAAAUCUGUAACCCUGUGUGAUUACACUGUGGACUGUGGGGCUUUAACUCAAAUCACAAAGAGCCUCUUUGAUCUAAAAGUUUCUCUGAAUUACCUCCACAUCCCUUUCUCUUCUGCCUCUGGGCAGGACUUCUUUUAAAACCAGUGAGUUCACUUACAUCUUCGCAGUAGCCAUUGGGUGCUAGGCUAUUCUCAGAUAAGGAAGCAAA